rnacentral:rRNA from 1 species
GAUGAACGCUAGCGGCAGGCUUAACACAUGCAAGUCGAGGGGUAUAGUUCUUCGGAAUUAGAGACCGGCGCACGGGUGCGUAACGCGUAUGCAAUCUACCUUUCACAGAGGGAUAGCCCCAGAGAAAUUUGGAUUAAUACCUCAUAGUAUAGCAGUUUCGCAUGAAACCACUAUUAAAGUCACAACGGUGAAAGAUGAGCAUGCGUCCCAUUAGCUAGUUGGUAAGGUAACGGCUUACCAAGGCAACGAUGGGUAGGGGUCCUGAGAGGGAGAUCCCCCACACUGGUACUGAGACACGGACCAGACUCCUACGGGAGGCAGCAGUGAGGAAUAUUGGACAAUGGGCGCAAGCCUGAUCCAGCCAUGCCGCGUGCAGGAUGACGGUCCUAUGGAUUGUAAACUGCUUUUGUACAGGAAGAAACACUACUUUCGUGAAGUAGCUUGACGGUACUGUAAGAAUAAGGAUCGGCUAACUCCGUGCCAGCAG